GAUGAAGAACGCAGCGAAAUGCGAUAAGUAAUGUGAAUUGCAGAAUUCAGUGAAUCAUCGAAUCUUUGAACGCACAUUGCGCCCCCUGGUAUUCCGGGGGGCAUGCCUGUUCGAGCGUCAUUUCACCACUCAAGCCUCGCUUGGUAUUGGGCAACGCGGUCCGCCGCGUGCCUCAAAUCGACCGGCUGGGUCUUCUGUCCCCUAAGCGUUGUGGAAACUAUUCGCUAAAGGGUGUUCGGGAGGCUACGCCGUAAAACAACCCCAUUUCUAAGGUUGACCUCGGAUCAGGUAGGGAUACCCGCCGAACUUAAGCAUAUCAAUAAGCGGAGGA
rnacentral:misc_RNA from 1 species